GACGAACGCUGGCGGCGUGCUUAACACAUGCAAGUCGAACGGUAAGGCCCUUCGGGGUACACGAGUGGCGAACGGGUGAGUAACACGUGGGUGAUCUGCCCUGCACUUCGGGAUAAGCCUGGGAAACUGGGUCUAAUACCGGAUAGGACUCCGGACUGCAUGGUCUGGGGUGGAAAGCGUUUGCGGUGUGGGAUGGGCCCGCGGCCUAUCAGCUUGUUGGUGGGGUGAUGGCCUACCAAGGCGACGACGGGUAGCCGGCCUGAGAGGGUGACCGGCCACACUGGGACUGAGAUACGGCCCAGACUCCUACGGGAGGCAGCAGUGGGGAAUAUUGCACAAUGGGCGCAAGCCUGAUGCAGCGACGCCGCGUGAGGGAUGACGGCCUUCGGGUUGUAAACCUCUUUCAGCAUCGACGAAGCGAAAGUGACGGUAGGUGCAGAAGAAGGACCGGCCAACUACGUGCCAGCCGCCGCGGUAA
rnacentral:rRNA from 1 species